rnacentral:rRNA from 1 species
UASAYMUGSRAGYCGACGGUAACAGGWAGAAGCUUGCUKCUUUGSUKRMSRRKKGGCRGACGGGUGAGUAAUGUCUGGGAAACUGCCUGAUGGAGGGGGAUAACUACUGGAAACGGUAGCUAAUACCGCAUAACGUCGCAAGACCAAAGAGGGGGACCUUCGGGCCUCUUGCCAUCGGAUGUGCCCAGAUGGGAUUAGCUUGUUGGUGGGGUAACGGCUCACCAAGGCGACGAUCCCUAGCUGGUCUGAGAGGAUGACCAGCCACACUGGAACUGAGACACGGUCCAGACUCCUACGGGAGGCAGCAGUGGGGAAUAUUGCACAAUGGGCGCAAGCCUGAUGCAGCCAUGCCGCGUGUAUGAAGAAGGCCUUCGGGUUGUAAAGUACUUUCAGCGGGGAGGAAGGGAGUAAAGUUAAUACCUUUGCUCAUUGACGUUACCCGCAGAAGAAGCACCGGCUAACUCCGUGCCAGCAGCCGCGGUAAUACGGAGGGUGCAAGCGUUAAUCGGAAUUACUGGGCGUAAAGCGCACGCAGGCGGUUUGUUAAGUCAGAUGUGAAAUCCCCGGGCUCAACCUGGGAACUGCAUCUGAUACUGGCAAGCUUGAGUCUCGKARAGGGGGGUAGAAUUCCAGGUGUAGCGGUGAAAUG